GACGAACGCUGGCGGCGUGCUUGACACAUGCAAGUCGAACGGUGAAGCGCUUGCCUUUUUGGUGGGUGUGGAUGAGUGGCGAACGGGUGAGUAACACGUGAGUAACCUGCCCUCUUCUUCUGGAUAACCUCAUGAAAGUGGGGCUAAUACGGGGUAUUCCGGGUCUGUCGCAUGGCGGGUUUGGGAAAGAUUGCGCCUUUGGGUGUUUUCGGUGGGGGAUGGGCUCGCGGCCUAUCAGCUUGUUGGUGGGGUGAUGGCCUACCAAGGCGGUGACGGGUAGCCGGCCUGAGAGGGUGGACGGCCACACUGGGACUGAGACACGGCCCAGACUCCUGCGGGAGGCAGCAGUGGGGAAUAUUGCACAAUGGGCGCAAGCCUGAUGCAGCGACGCCGCGUGAGGGAUGGAGGCCUUCGGGUUGUGAACCUCUUUCGCCAGUGAAGCAGGCCUGCUCCUGUGUGGGUGGGUUGACGGUAGCUGGAUAAGAAGCGCCGGCUAACUACGUG
rnacentral:rRNA from 1 species